rnacentral:lncRNA from 1 species
UCCACCAGGGCAAAAAUACUAUAGAUGCAAGAUAUAGAAGGGGAAUGAAUGCUUUCUUUUUUUCCAUUUUUUCGUCUUUUAUUUUUUAAUGAACUCACUUCAUUCGUUAACUCUCUACACUACUAAUAUUUAUAUCAAACAUAAGUUCUAUUACAAGUCAUAUGGAUACUAUUAUGAAUCCAUUCCCUGUUUUUUCGUUUUUGAUUUGUGAUUCAUUAGUUAAUCCUUGAAUUUCGAAAUAAUACAGAAAGAAAAUAACAAAGAAUCCACUUUUUUUUGUUAUUGGGUUUGGUUAAUUCUUAGUAACAUUUUAUUAUAUCAUACAAAUACAUCAUUUUUCAUAAUUAUCUUUCAUUGUUUUCGGAUUAUAUAUAUAUAUAUAUAUUAAUAAAUAUUUAUUUUAUCAUUGGAUUUUAAAAGUUUAGUUAGAAGAUCUCCAAAAUUUAAAUUUAAAACUGUAUCAUUCUCUAAAGUUCGACAUUUGAUAUAAUAACAACUUCAUAUUAACAUUGUAUCAUCCCUAUAAUUAUGCAUGUAACAAUUAUUCCAUAAACGGUUUGACAAUAUUAAUAAUAAUAAAUUGACACUGUUUAAAGGGAAUCAAGGUUAAUAUAACGAUAUAUAUGGAUUAUUAAAAUUUCCUUAAACUAAUGAUCCAAACGUUAAAUGCAUCGAAACUAGGGGAAUAAAAUUCUUUUAUGAAAGAAUCAUUAAAUUAGGUAUAUUUUCCAUAAAUAUUAUUUAAAAUUUGGUUUUCUUAUUAUUAAUAUAACAAAAAAAAUAUAAAUAGCAAAAUUACUUAAAAUAUUCAUAAAAUAUAAAAAAGAAAAUCAAAUUCUUUAUCGGUUGUCACUUCAAGUGAUAAUACUUAAUAAAACUAUAAUGAUUUUGUAAUAAGUUUCUAAAUAAAUACACUCUUUUAACAAGUUACAAAAUUAACCCUAAUAGAAAAAUUCAAAUCAAAAUGUUAUCAAACUUAAAUUAAUGUUUCAAUUUUGAUAUUUCCUUUAAUUUGCCACAAUUCUUUUUUUUUUUUUUGAAAGUAGUGUAAAGAUAUGUAUAAUUUAUAAACUUAUUUUAAGAAAAUAAAGUUUUAGAACAAAUAAAAUAGGCAGUGUAAAAAAUAAGUUUGGUCAAUGUUCAAAUUAGUACUAUGGAAAAAAAAUCAGAUAUGUUAUUGUUUUUAUAAUUUAUCUAAAUUUUGGAAUGCAAUAAAAAAUUAACUUACAAAUUUAUAAACUCAAAAUAUAAUUUCUACAAAAUUUGGAUAAAGCAAUGUCAUAUAAUUUACAACCCUAUAUUUAAUGUUACAAUCUCAAGAAGAAAAAAAAAGCAAAAUAAAAUACAUAAUUACGAAUAUAAUUCUAGAAAUCUCUUGAACUUCUCUAUGAGAAGCUGAGGAAGAAGAAGAAAAAGACUGGGAAGCAUACAAUUGGCCACCAAAGAUAUGAAGUAACUUGAGUUGGAGGAAUUCUCAUGAGUUCAGAAGCCACAUUCACCGUAAUUCUCACUUUCUUCUCUGUUUCAUUCCUCCAACUCCUCCUCUCUGUCAGUACUAAUGGUGAUUAUGAUCACCGGUUCCAUGUUGGCAGAUCUCACUCUCUUCUUCACUUUUUUUAUCUCCUUCGGCUGGUGAUGCGGUGAGGACGAUGACAAGGGUGGUGAAUGGUUCUUCUUGGUUAAGUCGUCUUCUUUUUUCGUUUGCACGCGAUUACUGAUUUCAACCAGCUUUUUGUUCAACUUUCUUUUUUUUUUUUUUUUUGUAGAAUUUGUUAUUUCAAUUACAAUGUAAUUGGGUUUAUGUUUUUGGGAUAAACAAUUUGUAUUUUUCAGUUUGGAUAGAGUCAUUUGAGGGAUUAUUUUAUUAUUUUUUUUUAUUUUUGAUGUUUUGCUAUUCUAACAAUUUAAAAUUAUUUUUGUUACUUUUGCAAAGUAAAACAUAUAAUUUGCUAUUCUUCUUGAGAGCUCCUUCCCAAAAAAAAAAAAAGACUGUCAAGAAGAAUGACAAAUUAUAUGUUUCACUUUGGGAAAAUAGCAAAAAAAAAUUAAUUGUUAGAAUAGCAAAAGACAAAAAAAUAUAUAUAAAUAAAUAAAUUCCUCAAAUGCCCUUAUCCAAACUAAAAUAUAGAAAUUGUUUAGCACACUGACAUAAACUCCCGUUACACCGUAACUAAAACAGUGGUAUAAACAAAAUUCCCUCUAAAUAACUAAAAUAAAAAAACAUACCAUUACUGUGAAGCUCCACCUUAUACUUUUAGAAUUUAAACUUUUGAAGGUAAUCAUUCUCUUUCUUGCAGAAUCAAAAACCAAAACAAAAUCAUUGUUAGAAAAUUUCGACAUAAUCAACAUAAGUCAAUACACGUCCUUGUCUUCACCAAUCCGAAUAAGGUUCGAACUGUUGCAUCCAUCCCAAUACAGAGUAAUGCGACACACAGAAAUAUGUAAGGAUGAAAAAAAUUCUAUCUUGAAUGCACUGUAAAAAUUCUUUAAAUGAAGAUGAACAUAGAAUAAAUACAUCAAUCACACGGUAGUCAAUGUAUCGAGAAGAUUCUAUCCAUCUACCAUCAAAAAAUGUUUCACACGUUGCAUUGCCAUUAUAAAAAACGAUAUACAAUAAAGGUCAAGGAAUUUCAAAACAGGCAUACGAUAAAUGCAACCAAUAAAGAGGACAGCUGCAGUGAAAAAAUUUCACCGCUGAAAAUAAAUUCAUUUGAAUACUCUUUACCCAAAAUAAAAGUCAGACUAAAAUGGAAAAAUUGAUACAAUUUAAUAAUUUCAAAUAAAAAACGUAUUAUUCUCACGCCUUUUUUGAGAUAUUAUCAUUUGAAUAAUUUUUUUUAGUGUUUUUGUAGUUUUAAAUCAAUAUUUAAAAUCAAUUUUAAAUGAUAUUCAAUAAAAUCUAUGGAAAACGUCCCUCAUUUAAAAUGAUAAUUACAUAAACUGAUUUUAUUCUUGUAGUUAUACUAACAUUUAAUUCAUAAAAUAAUGCUUAAAAAUAGGAAAGAUACACUAAUUACAUAAAUUUGUUAUUAUAUAAAAUUCAUAAUUUUGGGUAGAAGAUAUUAUUUUAAAUUCAAAAUUUAGAAUCUUGCUUCCAACCAAACCUAUCUGAAGGAAUAACAUUAUUAAUGAUUUAAUUAUGUGAACUAAAUAUGUAUUAUUAUAUAUAAUAAUAUGGUCAAUCCAUUUAUUGAAAAAUCUGUACAUGCAUAACUAUAGAAAAUAUACCUAAGUUGUUACUGU